UCCAAGUUCCUGUCACCUCUCAUCAGCCC
rnacentral:piRNA from 1 species